CUUAACCCGGCUAUAGUAUUUUGGGCGGUAGCUAGGCCCAAGAACUUAAGAGAGUUAAGCGUGCUAGGGCUAGAAUAAUCCUAGGAUAGGUGACCUCCUGGAAAGUGGGGUGACACACGAAUGUAUGUGUCUGUGUGUGCGCAUAUAUACGUGUGGGAGUGGGAGUUGAACAUUCAACGUGCGGAUCCACGUCUCUGUGGAAAGAGGAAUCUUGGAUCCACGUCCAUGCGGGAAUAGGAAAACGUCCACUCCCUCUGGAACGUUUCUUCCACCUAUUAAAUGAAUAAUUAAAAUUAGUAAAUAAAUGAAUAAGAAGCAAAAUAAUAAAUAAAAAAAAUUUAAAAGGAAAUUUUGGAUUUUCUCCAACAUGUAAUACCAUGCUAUUUCCCUACUCUUUACCAUUUAGUGGCCUUGGGAUGGAUCUUUGAAGUUUGCUAUGUAGAAUGUGUAAAUGCUUUAGUUACCAUGAAGAUGUUUCUGCUUAUGGUUCAUGUCUAUAAACAGUGGUAAAAGCCGAUAUUUUAUAUUUGCAAGAAAAUUAACUAGUACAAAUCUUUUUGUCAAGUUGGGAAUAUAUAGACGGCACCAUAAUUCAUAGAAAAUCAUGAGAAAGUCCCUAAGUUUUAAAAUUUUCUUCUGUGGACGUUCUUGUUACACAUCUUUUAAGUGGAACUUGGGAUAUUUCAUUAGCAACUGCAAUAUUUGUCUCUCUUUUAUGAUUUAUUAAAGUUUGUAUCUACUUUGCUAACUUCAAAAAUUUUUAUGAACUUGACAAUGGUUAAAUUUUAGAUGAAAGAACAGAAGUUCAGUAGCUGAUGACAUUUCUUAGAUUCCAUGGGAAGACUCACAGAACUUUUGUGAAAGAACAACUGAAGGCUAAAGUACUUAUAUGAAGAGAUCAAAAGCUAAACAAUUGGGUACUUUCUUGAAAUUAUUUGAAAUGAUAUUAUCCGCAUUUAAAACUUCCGUUAAAAUUGUCAACGACUGUAAAAUCUGUAUCCGAAUUGUCUUUUCAGAGAAUUUGUUUAGAGUAGAAAUGGGUGAUAGAUCCUUAGGUCUUUAGAGGUUAAGAAGCUAUCCGACAGUAGUGGGGUGAAUCCUAUUUUUGUAGGUAGUUGCAGCGGAGAAGGCCAGCAGCGGAGGGUUUCACGAGAAGCUGACGAUGACGGUUGCAGUGCCGCUGCUUUGGGGCGUUCCUCCUGCAUCCGAGAGUCUCCGUUUUGCGGUCCGCAGUGGAGGCGGCAUUGUCGAGAAGGUCUAUUGGCAGUGGGAUUUCGUAUAAGAUGUACACUCUAACCCAUAUGUUUGUUCAUGCCUUGUGUAUAGAAAUAUGUUGUUCUAAUUCACUGAUCUGCAGUAUAAUCCCCCAUUGUAUCUGCAUCACUUGCAUGUACAGAACUCGAAAUUCUUUGUUAUGUAACUCCUUGGAUGAAUUAUUUCAUUCUAAUUUACCAAGUAAGAUUGUGAAAUGGGAGGAUAGAUGGGUAAUUUCUCUGAUCAAUGACUGAUGGGAAGAGGAACUAGUGGGUCAUUGUCAAGUGUUGCCAGUCACAGUGUGUGUGAAUAACUUCAGCACCAAAAACAUCAUCAGAUGGAUUACACCAUAGAAACACUGAUGUAUCAUAGUGAUAAUAAUAUUCUCCAUUUAUUAGAAAAUUGUAAAUGGUCCAGAACUUACGAACUUUGGAUAGCUUUUGAACUAGCCAACUAAUGCAAAUGUGUUGUUACUCUAUUUUGUUACCAAAUGAACUGUGCGAUUAACUAAUGCUGAAAGGUUUAGAUAAUUAUAUCUGACAAUUGGCCUAUAUAUAUAUAUAUAUAUAUAUANAUAUAUAUAUAUAUAUAUAUAUAUAUAUAUCGUCGAAUUAAUACUAUAAAUUAACUAUAUAUAUAUAUAUCGUCGAAUUAAUACUAUAAAUUAACUAUCUAUAAAUAAAAAAAUGAAAGCUGUACAUUUUAUAUAGGCCCGUACAUUUCACACCCUAUUCAUUCUUGGGUUUAUAAAUUUUUUAGGAUUUUAGUAUUAAAAAUUAGGCUAAAUUACAGAAAAACCCUUGUAAUAAUCCGCCUUUUCACUUUCCCUCCCUGACAUUUAAAAAUCUACACUUUGCCCUCCUGUAAAAUAAAAAAUGUGCACUUCACCCCCUACUGUUAGGGUUCCGUUAAAAAAUAUAUUUUUAUGUCAAAAAUACCCCUCCGCCAUCUCCCUGUUGCUUCGCCUCCCUCCGGCUCGCCACCUCGCCGCUUCCUCGCCUAGCCGCCUCGCCGUCCUCCACUACCUCGCCCUCACCCACAUCCCCUUCGCCGUCCUCCGCCGCCUCGCCUUCGCCGUCCUCCGCCGCCUCGCCUUCGCCUUCUUUGCCCUUCUUCUACUGUCGUCCACCUCGGUUUCUCCUACUGUCGCCCACCUCGGUUUCUCCUACUGUCACCGAAAUUGAGGGCGGCGAGGGUGCAGGAGGAGAAGGGGAGCACGUGGAGAAGGAAAUGGAGAGAAAUCGCGGCCGAUUGAGGUGGGAAUCGCGGUCGAACGAAGGGGCGGCUGAGGAAGAUGGGGAAGAAGACGACAAUGGCGAGGGGCAAAAUGGUCAUUUUACACACCGUAACCCCCCUGUGAAUAUUUUUUAUUUUACAGGGGGCAAAGUGUAGGUUUUUAAAUGUCAGGGGGGGAAGUGAAAAAGCGGGUUAUUACAGGAGGGUUUUCUGUAAUUUAGCCUAAAAAUUAAUAUAUGUUUUUGGAUGGAAUGUGAGAUUUAAGCUUUAUGAAUGAGUAUACGUAUAACAAUUUUCUUUUAUAAAUAUGAUUAUCAUACCCACAGGUUUGAGAAAACUUGUGUAGCAAGUGUGUUGAGAUAAAGGGUUUGUUUGGUACAAUAUAAAAUUGUGAAAAAUAUUUUUUCCUGUAAAAAAUUUGUAAGAGAUCCAACCUUUCGGCAACCACUAUUGCAAGUAGGAUGGCUAUUGGGGAUGAUGGAAUUCCAAUGUACUUGAUCCUAUUUCCCACUCCCAUAGAGCCACCGAUGUAGAGGGGUGUUGGAGAAGGUGAUGAUAGGGAUCCAAUCUUGAUUCCAGCAAUUCGGGUAACCAGAUGCUGAGGUAUUGAGAAGAGAGUCGAGAAAAGAAGAGAGGAAUGGGGAAGAAGAAGAAAAAGGGAGAGAAGAGAAUUAAGGGAGAAUUGGGAUUUUA
rnacentral:lncRNA from 1 species